UGCUAGUCGCGUGCUUCAGCCAAAACGAGGCACGGCAAACAGCUCAGUAACACGUGGCUAAUCUGCCCUUGGGAUAGGAACAACCCCGGGAAACUGGGGCUAAUUCCCAAUAGGUGAAGAACUCUGGAAUGAGUCUUUGCCAGAAAAGAGCUUACGUUAUGCUCGUAAGUUUCGCCCAAGGAUGAGGCCGCGACCGAUCAGGUUGUUGGUGAGGUAAUGGCUCACCAAGCCUUUUACCGGUGCGGGCCGUGAGAGCGGGAGCCCGGAGAUGGGCACUGAGACAAGGGCCCAGGCCCUACGGGGCGCAGCAGUCGCGAAAACUUUGCAAUACACGAAAGUGUGACAGGGCUAUCCCGAGUGCCAUCCGCUGAGGAAGGCUCUUACCCAGUCUAGAAAGCUGGGGGAAUAAGGAGAGGGCAAGUCUGGUGUCAGCCGCCGCGGUAAUACCAGCUCUCCGAGUGGUGUGGAUGUUUAUUGGGCCUAAAGCAUCCGUAGCUGGCUAAGUUAGUCCUUUGUUAAAUCCACCGAAUUAAUCGUUGGAUUGCGGGGGAUACUGCUUGGCUAGGGGACGAGAGAGGCAGACGGUAUUUCCGGGGUAGGGGUGAAAUCCUAUAAUCCCGGGAAGACCACCAGUGGCGAAGGCUGUCUGCUAGAACGCGCCCGACGGUGAGGGAUGAAAGCUGGGGGAGCGAACCGGAUUAGAUACCCGGGUAGUCCCAGCUGUAAACGAUGCAGGCUAGGUGUUUGGACGGCCACGUGCCGUUCUAGUGCCGCAGGAAAGCUGUUAAGCCUGCCGCCUGGGGAGUACGAUCGCAAGAUUGAAACUUAA
rnacentral:rRNA from 1 species